rnacentral:rRNA from 1 species
GACGAACGCUGGCGGCGUGCUUAACACAUGCAAGUCGAACGGAAAGGUCCUGCUUUUGCGGGGUGCUCGAGUGGCGAACGGGUGAGUAUAACGUGUGUAACCUCCCCUUGUCUUUGGGAUAACUCCAGGAAACUGGGGCUCAUACCGGAUAGGAGCUCCUGCUGCAUGGUGGGGGUUGGUAAGUUUCGGCGGUUGUGGAUGGACUCGCGGCUUAUCCGCUUGAUGGUCGGGUAGUGGCUUACCAAGGCUGUGACGGGUAGCCGGCCUGGGAGGGUGACCGGGCACAAUGGGACUGAGAGACGGCGCAGACGGCUACGGGAGGCAGCAGGGGAGAAUAUGACAGAAUGGGCGGGAGUGUGAGACAGCAACGUCGCGUGCGGGAUGACGGCCUUCGGGUUGUAAACCGAUUUCGCCUGAGACGAAGCGGGAGUGACGGUAAUGGGUAAAGAAGCACCGGCUAACUACGUG